rnacentral:rRNA from 1 species
CCUUUUCCGUUCGGCCGGCCGGACCGGCGCGGACGGGUGAAGUAACACGUAUGCAACCUGCCCUCUUCAGGGGGACAACCUUCCGAAAGGGAGGCUAAUCCCGCGUAUAUCGGUUUCGGGCAUCCGAGAUCGGGGAAAGAUUCAUCGGAAGAGGAUGGGCAUGCGGCGCAUUAGCUAGACGGCGGGGUAACGGCCCACCGUGGCGACGAUGCGUAGGGGUUCUGAGAGGAAGGUCCCCCACACUGGUACUGAGACACGGACCAGACUCCUACGGGAGGCAGCAG